rnacentral:rRNA from 1 species
GAUGAACGCUGGCGGCGUGCCUAACACAUGCAAGUCGAACGAACAGACGCAGAGCGCUCGCUGCUGACGUUAGCGACGGGCGGGUGAGUAAUGAGUAGAUAGCCCUCCACUAUGACUUAGGUCACUUCGAGAAGCCGGAGCUACUACUAGAUAAUACCACCAACUGGUUGGUGCAGUAGUGAUUGACGGUUUUGGUGUCAACUAUAGACGGAUCCGCUCCGUAUUAGCUAGUUGGUAAGGUAACGGCCUAACAAGGAAACGAUGCGUGGCCGAGCUGAGAGGCUGAUCGGCCACACUGGAACUGAGACACGGUCCAGACUACUACGGGAGGCAGCAGUAGGGAACGGGCGGCAAUGGGCGCAAGCCUGACGCAGCGAGGCCGCGUGUGUGACGAAGGCCUUCGGAUCGUAAAGCCCGGUUUUUGGGUAAGAACAAAUGUAUGUGGAGAUAUAGCGGUCUUGACGGUACCUAAAGAAGAAGCACCGGCUAACUACGUG